GUACCGAGGGUUCGAAUCCCUCUCUUUCCG
rnacentral:tRNA from 1 species